UACAGAGGUCUCAAGCGUUGUUCGGAUUCUUUGGGCGUAAAGGGUGCGUAGGCGGCGCGGUAAGUCGGGUGUGAAAUCUCGGAGCUUAACUCCGAAACUGCAUUCGAUACUGCCGUGCUUGAGGACUGGAGAGGAGACUGGAAUUUACGGUGUAGCGGUGAAAUGCGUAGAUAUCGUAAGGAAGACCAGUGGCGAAGGCGGGUCUCUGGACAGUUCCUGACGCUGAGGCACGAAGGCCAGGGGAGCAAACGGG
rnacentral:rRNA from 1 species